UACGUAGGUGGCGAGCGUUGUCCGGAUUUACUGGGCGUAAAGGAUGCGUAGGCGGAUAUUUAAGUGAGAUGUGAAAUACCCGAGCUUAACUUGGGUGCUGCAUUUCAAACUGGAUAUCUAGAGUGCGGGAGAGGAGAAUGGAAUUCCUAGUGUAGCGGUGAAAUGCGUAGAGAUUAGGAAGAACACCAGUGGCGAAGGCGAUUCUCUGGACCGUAACUGACGCUGAGGCAUGAAAGCGUGGGUAGCAAAC
rnacentral:rRNA from 1 species